rnacentral:ncRNA from 1 species
GUAAGGGAAGCCGGCAAAUUGGAUCCGUAACUUCGGGAGAAGGAUUGGCUUUGGGGGCUGAGUCAGACAGGCCGAGAUCAGAUACGUGUCGGUCCAGUUGGCAGCUGGUUUCUUUGCUGCUUUGUUUGCUUCGGUGAACGUUGUGGUGAGGUUACAGGACUCUGAUCCGGGUCGAUCGUGGGCGGUUUCAGCUGUUAGUGCUGUGCAGCUAGCAACGCGCGAGGACAUGUUCCACGUUGCGUUAAGCGGCUGUACUUCCAUAGUCUGGCGCGCGAUGGCUAACUGAGAACUGGCACGGACCAGGGGAAUUCGACUGUCUAAUUAAAACAAAGCAUUGCGGUGUCCACUGACUGGUUUUGACGCAAUGUGGUUUCUGUCCAGUGCUCUGAAUGUCAAAGUGAAGAAAUUCAACCAAGCGCGGGUAAACGGUGGGGGUAACUAUGACUUUCUUAUUCUUUUCGUUUUUAUUAUUUUAUUUUUUACUGACAUAACUCUUUCCUCACCUGUUUUUGUGUCCAAUAUCCCAACAUCCUGACGGUUUACGGAUUUCACGUUUCAUGUUGUCUUUUUGAUUAUUAUACUGAACAUAUAUCACGUAAUUAAUAAAUACCCUCACACAGACACUGGUUACUUAUUAUAGUAAUCAUAUAUCUUAUCAUUAUUUCGUUACUAGUAUCACUUUAUGUAUAUACAUUCCCUCGUUCUUAU